rnacentral:rRNA from 1 species
AACGAACGCUGGCGGCAGGCCUAGCACAUGCAAGUCGAGCGCGCCCUUCGGGGUGAGCGGCGGACGGGUGAGUAACGCGUGGGAACGUGCCCUUUUCUACGGAAUAGCCUCGGGAAACUGAGAGUAAUACCGUAUACGCCCUUUGGGGGAAAGAUUUAUCGGAAAAGGAUCGGCCCGCGUUGGAUUAGGUAGUUGGUGGGGUAAUGGCCUACCAAGCCGACGAUCCAUAGCUGGUUUGAGAGGAUGAUCAGCCACACUGGGACUGAGACACGGCCCAGACUCCUACGGCAGGCAGCAGUGGGGAAUCUUAGACAAUGGGGGCAACCCUGAUCUAGCCAUGCCGCGUGAGUGAUGAAGGCCUUAGGGUUGUAAAGCUCUUUCAGCUGGGAAGAUAAUGACGGUACCAGCAGAAGAAGCCCCGGCUAACUCCGUG